UACGUAGGGGGCAAGCGUUGUCCGGAAUCAUUGGGCGUAAAGCGCGUGUAGGCGGCUCGGUAAGUCUGCUGUGAAAGUCCAGGGCUCAACCCUGGGAUGCCGGUGGAUACUGUCGAGCUCGAGUCCGGAAGAGGCGAGUGGAAUUCCUGGUGUAGCAGUGAAAUGCGCAGAUAUCAGGAGGAACACCAAUGGCGAAGGCAGCUCGCUGGGACGUGACUGACGCUGAGACGCGAAAGCGUGGGGAGCAAACAGG
rnacentral:rRNA from 1 species